rnacentral:rRNA from 1 species
GUAGGUGGCAAGCGUUGUCCGGAAUUAUUGGGCGUAAAGCGCGCGCAGGCGGUUCUUUAAGUCUGAUGUGAAAGCCCACGGCUCAACCGUGGAGGGUCAUUGGAAACUGGAGAACUUGAGUACAGAAGAGGAAAGCGGAAUUCCACGUGUAGCGGUGAAAUGCGUAGAGAUGUGGAGGAACACCAGUGGCGAAGGCGGCUUUCUGGUCUGUAACUGACGCUGAGGCGCGAAAGCGUGGGGAGCAAACAGGGAUUAGAUACCCUGGUAGUCCACGCCGUAAACGAUGAGUGCUAAGUGUUAGGGGGGUUUCCGCCCCCUUAGUGCUGCAGCUAACGCAUUAAGCACUCCGCCUGGGGAGCACGGCCGCAAGGCUG